rnacentral:snRNA from 1 species
AUACUCUGGUUUCCCUUCAGAUCAUAUAAAUCUUUUGCCUUUUACUAAAGAUUUCUGUGGACAGAGACAGACAGUGGUUGGGCCCAUUCUCCUCUUCCCCUCCUCCCAAGAC